rnacentral:lncRNA from 1 species
AGUGGAUUUCAGGAUUCCUCUAAGAAGCUUUGGAAUGCCAGAAGAUACCACAAGUGAGAAGAAAAAAUAAAACAAGAGGAAGGAUAUACUUCCCAUAAGGGGACAAAGUACAGCCGCAGUGUCCUCCGCUUGGGCCAUGGAACAGCUGCAGGUUUUGCCCUGAUUACCCUGGUGGUAAAGUCUGAUUGGCUAUGAUUCCCGGUGUCCAGAAGAUAAACACGGGCGGUGCAGCGGAGCCACACGCAUGCCUGUGCAUGGCCACGCCAGGUCGGAAACCCAGCCCCUCUGCUUGGGAGGCACGCAGGGCUCUGGCUGAAGCCUGAAGCUUGGGAUCCUCAGAGCACAGAUGUCCCAGGGUUGUGUGAAGUUAGUGAGACGAGGUGUACGGAGAGAGCUCGGAGAGGAGAGGGAGUCUCGAUUGCUGUGGCUGUGGCUCGGAGAUGCCUGCAAGAGGUGACGGUGAUGUGCGUGGUGGUGUGUUCACUGAUGAUGCUACACUGCAGGCCCAGGGCUGUGUUGUGGUGGCAGGUGUCCUCCUGGACCGUUUGACCUUUAGGGAGGCCUCCUCCACUCAAGCACUGGUCCUGGAGGGGCUCUGGGCACACAAGGAGUCAGGCAUGUUUUUGCCCCCGAGGAGCCCCCCAGCCUGGCAGGGCCCAGGGGCAGGGCAGGGUGGGGCGGGGUGGGAUGGGGGUGCUCCAGGAGGUAGCAGGGACACUUGGUAAGUGGGGCCAAAUUGGGAGGCAUCUCAGGAGGUGGCCAUGGGCAGAGGGACAGCCUUCCAGUUCUUUGCCUCUCCCCUUUGAAGCCCGGCGCCUGGCAACAGACCUGUGGUAGCUGCACCUGCCUGGGUAGGAGACUGUGGGCUCUUUUCUCGUAGGGGGACAAGAGUCAUUUGCAGGACCUUCUGAGCAGGUGGGGGACAGCGAAGGACAAGAGGAGGCUGUGCCUGUGCGGCUGUGUCCCGGCACAGGUGCCGCUUCAUGCCCACGCCACCACAUCCUCACUGGGUGGCUUCGGGCAAGUUACCUGAACUCUGCGCCUCCAUCUCGUCUUCUGUAAAAUGGGUGGCACAUCCGAGCCCACCUCCUAGGGAGGGUGUUGUGAGGACAGGUGGGGGCACGUCCGCACAGCCCCUAGAAUAGUGCCCAGGGCACCAGAGUGCUCUGUAGGGAAAUAGUAGUGGCUGGCACUGAGCCCCCAACAUAAGCCAGCACCGUGGGCCAGAGCCACGACUCCUGCUUCUGGGCACUUCACAAGCUAUGGCCAGGGGCCACCACCUUUGGCCACUCCUUUCCCACAGAAUUCCUACCAGGGCCCUGCCAGGUCAACAAGUCACAGGGCUUCCCCAUCACAGAAGCCCAGCUCUGUGACACCUCUUGGUCCCAAGCACGUUCCUAUCCCCCAUUCAUGUGUUUUGUUAGGACCCUUUAGGGUUGCACAUGGCAGAAACUUAAUCCACACCAACUUCAGCGAAGAAGGAAUGUACUGGCUCCAGUCAGUGAAAAGUCCAGGAGGAGCCAUGCCUUCAGGCACGGCUGCAUCCAGGCACUCAACAGGUGUAUCCAGGCACUCAACAGGUGCAGCCAACACCUUGCCCCGCAGGCUGUCAGCUCCUGCCUUCUGCUGCGUCCACGUCACUGUAGGUGGAUUUCUCUGCACAUGGGUGAGAUGGCCCCAGAAGCUCUGGCUCAUGGAGUCCUUGUAGCACCUGUCCUGGCCAUCCCCAGAUGAGAAAGCAUCAUUUCCCAUGGCAGAAAUCUGGUGGAAACAGGAGGGAGGGGGUCGGCUCUCUUUGGUCGGAUCUGGGUCUCGUGCCCAUCUCUGGGAGAGAAAAGUCCCCAUUCACAGAAACUGAGCAGAUCCUGGAUUGGAUGGGGAAGGAGAGAUGCUGGCAGAUACACACACAUUCACUGCACUCCCUGCAAGGAUAGUGACAAUAGUAGAAGCUGCUCUUUCUUGAGAAGUUAUGACGUGUGCCAGAAAAUUCUACCUUUUAAGGAUAUAGAGAGGCUUUUAUCAUCCCCAUUUUACAGAUGACAAAACUGAGGCUCAGAGAGGUGAAGUGAUUUGCCUAUGGAUGCAUAGCUAAGGUCUGACCCCACAACUCACACUCACAAGUUAGCAAGAGGUGUUUCACCAGGGUAGUCUGGGGGCAGAAGGAGCCUGCCUGGUGAGGGAAGGGAGGUGGAGAGGUGGGGAGAGGGGAGGCCAAGAGGAGGGGACACCAGGACCUGGCCUCUGGCUUGCACAAUGGGGAGGGAACCCUGGAGAAGAGGAGGUUUAUGGGGGAGGCUGCUGAGUUUUUUGGGCACAUAUGCUAAGUUGGAGGUGCCCAUGGUCCUCAGGAGAUGUUCGGGAUUUGGGGGUCAGAGGCAUGAGCCUCGGCAUCCUGGGAAUCAUGGCUGUUUGCUUUGCUUUGGGAAUUUCACAGUGGUGGGGGGAAGGCGGCUGCUGACAGGAAGCACUUCCCAUUUGGUGGAGAAGGCAGCCAGAACCUGCAUGGCAGAAGCUGCGGCCUGGGCCUGUGACAGUGUCUACAACUGUGGCCACAGGUUCAAGGCCCUUGUAGUUGGCAGACACAGGGCCUGAAGUUCUCUGGCCGUUGUUUUAGGGCAAACACCUUGAGAAUGGCAUUUCCAAGGCCCUUGGGCUGUGCCAGGGCACCAACGCCAGUCGAGGACCACGCCUUUCUGAGGGAUGCUUGGAAUCUCACAGACAGGGGUUCACAUUCCGACUCUGCUUCCUAGAGGCUAUGUGGCCUUGGGCGUGUCUGGAACCUCUCUGGGCCACAGUUUGCUUAUCUGUGAAAGAGUCAUGGUAGCCUCUCCUUAUGGGUUUAUGGGGAGCUUCGGAUAUGGAGGGUGGGGCAGCACACAGGGCUCAAGCUGCAGCUCUUAGUUACCUGCUUUUCCUUUGCAGGUGUCCUACGGGCCUGAUGGAAAGGUGGCAGGCGAAAUGCACCUGGCCUCAGCGUCAGGGGCUGUGAAUGCAGUAGCACUUGUAGCUAUGAGGUCAGAGUGGACUAGGAUGGUCCUUCCACCAAGAAGCCUGGGCCUUCCUGCUCUUCGUUGUCCAGCUGCAGAAACUGAUCUCAUCCCUCAGGGCUUGGCACAACUGCCCCUUCCUCCUCACAUUCCCAAAUAUACCUACCCCUCCCCAACUCAAUCCUCCUCACCAGACUGUGGCUCCAGGAUGACAGGGCAGAGUUGGACUCACCUGUGUCUGCCAGGCCAGCUCACCGUGGGGGCAGGUCCCAAGAGGCCUCUGGAUUUGGACCAACUUCCAGUGUGACCUUGAACAAGGCCUUCGCCUCCCUCAGCCUCCGUUGCAUGAGGGGUUGUGCUGGCACAUCUCAGAGCAGGUAGCGCUACCUGGUGAGUUGAGGGCUCUGUCCAUCAUCUUUGUCACUGUAAUGCUGGGUAACAAAUAAACACGAAACAAUGAGUGCUCG